rnacentral:misc_RNA from 1 species
CUAAGGAGCACCAUUUUCCCCCGCGCCUCACACAGGUGAGGGUUCACGUGGUUGGGAUACAUUUCGCCGGCGCCUGUAGUGGGUUGUCCGGUGGUGCAGAAAAUUUACGAGCAACAACAAACUUUCGAAAUCAUCAACCGCCAGGAGUUUUCGUGACUUCUGGUGGCCGGCUUUGGGGUGGGCCCCAUGGUGGGUUCUGGAGGCACCAGCCCAUUUUUCCCCCCUUGGGGGGUGGGUG